UUUGACUGAAACAACAAGCCCUGGACUUUGCCUUCGUUUCCAGGAGCGUUUAUUGAUACGCUCGAGCCUUGGGAGAGCCCAGGGGGGAGACAGAUAUUUCUGCCAUGUUUUGGCUGGGACCUCUCAGCUUUACAGUCCCAGGAUGACUGAGCAGCACAGCAGGAAGGACACACAAGGUCACCUGGGAACAUCUGAGAGAGAGCAGGGCCACUGAGCAGGUUUGGGAGAGAGCCUCGGGCCCUGAAGAUACCUUGGAAAUCAUUCUCAAGGUCACAUUCGGACAGACAGCACCAGGUAUGUGAGCGUGGACCCACAGGCAGCCGGGCAGCAAGACAAGGGCCACUGAAGCACUGGCAGAGGGUCUGCGUGCAACUGCCCUUGGCCUCAGACAGACUCACUGCACUUCCAAAGCUCUUUCACUUCUUUCCAAAAAUCUUAAAAGGACAGGAAGGAAAAGAAGGAUCAAAACCCAGGGGAAGAAAAGAGAGCUAUAACUCAGCUGAAGUCUCUCCCAGAGCUUCCCCUGUUCCCAUAAAUGUGUGUUUUGGAUGAAAGUUUGUGCUCUGGGCAAGGAGAGGAUCACAAUCUGAGAUUUCACACUGUAUCUGUUGGUCAGCAUCCUGGCAAGAGGCCGACAGUACACUCAAAACGGGUAAUGCGAGCAGCAUUUAAUAGAGCCACUGUUUUCAGGGAUCCCUGCAGGGUUUAAGGAAUCUGGAGGCUUGAGGCAGUGUCCUGGGGUUAACAGCAGGGACCCAUCUGCCCUUGCCAGCUGCACGGAGGGGACCUGGUACAGAGGAAGGGGCUUCACCCUACCCUGAAGGGAACAUGUCUGGGCACUGAGUAGCCUGACCUUGUUUUGCUCAGAAUUCCAGUUGGCAUGGACUAUUGCUCAAUCCAACCUGAGAAAGAGAGGGCAAGAGAGCCCGUUGAAGAUGGGCCCCUGGGGCAGGGCUAGAGGCUAGAGAUCUUGCGGUGCAUAGAUCCUACAGGGGGUUUGUGAAGAUGCAUGAGCUCUAAUGUUUUAUACUGGCAUCUCAUGUCAGGAGGUAUUUGAAGGCAGAACUUUUCCCAGAAAAGAUGUGCUUUGGACACCCCUAGCCCAGACAUACCCUCUGGCCCUUCCCAGGUCUAAGGUGGAUGACUUCUUAGAAAGAGCAGGUGUAAUUCACAAAACUAUAAACGUGCGCGAAGGGCACUGGAGCUGUGUCCAGCCCUCGCUGUGCUCCUCUGGGCCUGUGCUGUGUGCAGAGCCAGCCUCGGAAACAGAGGCUUAUUUAAUUUUUUUUCAAGACAGGCCACCUUGGGGUAGUUUUAUCUAACAGCAGGCAUAACGGACCUAAGGGCUAAAGGAAACCUCUCCUAGUUUUUGAAUAUAACUCAUUUGAAUGAACAUGGACAAAUGUGAUUAUUUUUUUCAAGAGUUUUAAGAAAAAGGAGACAUUUCAUGCACAGGAUAAAAAAGAAGAAGAGGAACAGGGCAAAUAAAACUCCCGCAGGACGCAUGCUCAGGGUCACCACGCGGAAGCCCGUUGUGCCGAGAUUCUCUAGGACAAAGGGAGAGAACAGCUUCUUGGAAAGGGAAGCAGAGGCCACGGCUGGGCACGGUCCUGCUGUGAGGCGCUGGAGAUCGGAGCCUGGGUGCCCGGUGCCAGGCAGUGUUAAUAGUGCAGGUCUUCAAGCAAGAAGGUGAAAAGGAAAACUCACACAAGUCACAGCGGGUGUCGUAAACCCAGAGAGAGCUUCUGCUGAGAGCUUGGGACUUCGUGAUUCACCCUGGGGACGUCUUCACCACAACUCUCUCACCUGCCAGUGCAAAGAUAAAAUUUAUGAACCGUGACAAACGUAUCAUCUCAGCGCCAACUCGACGGAUAACAAUGUGCGUGGUGAAGCCCAGUGUGCACCCCUUAUGCCCAUGUUCAUGGGGUGGGAGACAGAAGGAGACCUCCAGAACCCCAGUCUGCAAAUUCUGGAUGCAGGGGAGGCUCCCAACUCCUCCCCAGGAUUCAGGACGCUUUUCAGGGGAAGUAUUCGUUUGUGCAAAAAUUCUUCUAAAGUCACAUAGUUAAACUUGGACUAAUACGCAUUUUAAAUUUUUAUGUUGGGUGUUACCAUGGUUCUGUCCCCACGGCAAAAGGCACCAUAUUAGAUUUUAAUUCCCAGUGACUCAGCCACUUCCCUGUACCUUAUCCCACAUUCCCUUUAGAGCGUGAAGGGGCAGCGCAAGGCAGCAGGAAGAAAGGCAGAGUCCAGGCCAGCCACACCAGGGCCCGGGAUCACUCGACAGGCCACUGCAGUGCCACCUCCUGGGCCUGCUCCCCUUCCUCCCUAGAUGCAGAAAAACUGGAGGAGAUUCUUGACCUCUGAAAUGAGAUGUCACAUGAAUAUGAUUAAGAACAGAACACCUCCAAGCUUUCCAUCUAUAUGAUUGGUGAGAAGAUCAAUUUCAUAAGAAAAUCUUGAAUGCUCAUGAAUUCUGAAAAAUCCAGCAAUCACAGACGUUUGAACUCAUGUUCACAAACUCCGGCAGACCCCAGGAAACAGAAAAGGAGAUCUGUCGGCCCUGGGGCUUUCCUUCGCCCUUGCAGAGUGUGCCCCGGCUACGCGCUCUCGGCCUAACUCCAGAUGAGCUUCUUGGCCUUGCCUCCCUCCUCCUGGAGAACGGCGGAAUUUUACUCCUUUCCCAACUUUACAGAACAGCCUUGCAUAAGGCACAAAUGCGGGGACCAUAAUGAAGUGGAGGUAAUCCACAUCGUUUAAAGACACUUAUUGUGACAAAAUGGAUGGGCGAGGUGUCGGCAACACAGGCACACAUAAAUGAAACGCAUCCCACCGGAAAAGCAUUUUGCUCACAUUGUCAUUUACGGCUCCUGAAUUAAUAGACCACGAAAGGCACCACCGGCCCCAACAAAAUGCCAUAAAACCACUGGCAGCUAGUGGUGUCUCCAACUUUAAUUCCCCUGGGGAGAAAAGGACACUGCCUAAUCUGUAUUCAGUCCUGACAUUGGCCGCAUCUGAUAUGGAACAUUAGCUUCUAAGUCUCUCAAUAGACUAGUGUCCUUCAGUUUAUAUUACUUUAUGUUAAUAGUAGAAAAAUUACACACAACAUCAUUUAUCAUUGUUAUACUCUGCUAUACAUCCCAGAGCUUACUUUAAUAUAUUUAUUUACCCCUGAGACAGGGGGAAAUUAAAAAUAUAUAUGUUUCAAAAAAAAACCUAUAGGGAAAACAUCAAUGUAAAUCUCUAAAACACACACACUCACACACACACACACACAACUCCCUUGGGUUUGGGGGAAUCUAUUGUACAGCUCAGCUUGUGAAUGAUAACAUGUCUCUGCCUAAGGACAACAGCCCAGUGCACGGUGAUUCCUGGGACGAGUACGUAACAAAAAGAAACGUAUUAAUGAUAAUAGAUCUUUUGUCCCCUCGUCUCCCCUAGUGUUUUUCAUGUGUCAGUUUUUAUCCUUGGGUCCCUCUAGUUCAGUUAUUAGCUUUUUUGACAUCUGACCUCUAGCUAGGGAAAGGCAAGAAUUUCUGUUCUGUUUUUUUUAAUCCUUUGGGAAAGCACUGUCAACCGGAGCCUGACUUCUACUGUUUUGACCCAGAUUCCACAAGCAUGGAGUGCCAGCUCGUGUGGGUUGAAAAACAACCAGGCCACGGCUGUGCACAGGCCCUCCCUUCCGCUAAGCGGUUCUGCCCACACGAGGCUUUGGUGAGAGCAGCCUUGUCAGGACCCUCAAGUCCCCAUGGAGCACGGCAAGUCACCCCUUCUCCCUGAGCCUCAGUUUCCUCAGAAACAAAAGAAGCUGGGACGAUGUGAGCUGAGCCUCCUCAUGGCUCCCUUGGGUUUCUGGCCCAGAGACGCGUCUAUGAUACUAUUCAUUCAAGGAAGCUGGACGGAUGUUCCCAGGUUUCAGAAGAGCCCAAAGAAGCUCUGGAACACUGGGGUGGCUAAGGGCCCAGGUUGGACGUGGGGCCCAGCAGCCACAUGGGAAGUGGAACAGCAUGGCCCAGAGAGACCUGCACAGUGAGGGGAUGGGAAUGGGCCCCCUCCGCAUCUGAGGUCAUGCCUGCCGGGUGGCCUGUCGGGUGGCCUGUCGGGUGGCCUGUCGGGUGGCCUGCCGGGGCGCCUGUUUCUAUCUGACUUGUAUUAACUCAGUUUUAGCAUUUCAAGUGCACACCUUCAUGAUGCAGUGGGGGGUUAUAAAAUCUGCCCUUCCAGUCUUGUCCUGGGUCAGCCCUCCCCUGAGCAUCCCACAGACUGUCCUUUCACCCACACUUAGGGAGAAAGGCCAGGCAGGUACAAUGUCCCUAAUUUCAUUGAUAAGGAAAUUUGAGAUUAGAAAUACUUGCUGAGAAGCCUGAGCUCUUGAAGCAACGUCUGGCUGGAGGGCUGAGCCGGGGACUGGAGCCCAGCCCUGGCUCUCCGCCCAGGCAGGCCUCUCUCUAAUACACUGCAAAGAUAUCAAUAAACAGCUAGAUCUGAGAUCUGUGACGCAUGUGGACAAUAAUUUUUUUCCAAAAGGCAAAAUAAAACUAGCACCACCUGCACAAGACUGUGCAGUUUAAAAGCAGUGUGGUAAGUGAUGGACACCAGACAGCAAGCGAGCAGGCGUGUGCUGCUGAAGACCUGUCUCCUAGCUCUGCAGGCACCAGGGACUCCAUUUCCCAGGAUGCCCUGCAAUGGGCAUGGCCACAUGACAAGCUGUGACCAAUAGAAAGUGGGCAGAAGUGAUCUAGGCUUGCCCCAUAAAGCCUCCAGGGAGCCUUGUGCUUUGUGUUCCCUGCCUGGUGUCUGGAUGUGGGGGACCCAGCAGAGGAUCUGGAUGUUCUAGGGACAGUCAAAGAACAGAUGUCAAAGCCUGGGAGAAGGCGUCUCAAUGUCUACAUUGAUUGUUAUUUGAAACAGAAAUGCACUCUGGUCCCAGGACUUGCCAGCUGCAGCAGUUGGUCAACCUGAUUAAGGGAAGGUGUGAAGGAAAGAAAGACGUGUUUCUAAAUACAAUGAGAGGGCACAUCAAGACCCGUUCUUAUUGCCAGACUUUAGUAUUUACAACGCAGACAGACCCUCUUAGCCAGCAUGGGUAGCACAGAGCCAGGGGCCUUGGGAUCUUUAAGGACAAACACUCACAAAAGGUUCUCUGCCUUAUCUUAGUCGUCUUCAAUUGUCUUUUCCACUGAUUUUCUGUUUUCACUUAUUGCAAUCUCAUAUUUUUUAUUCCAUUUGAUACUACUAAUGAGGAUGGCGAGUUGCUACAUGCCAGCCACUGUCCUGGAUACCCUGUCUGCAAUGUCUCAUUCCAUCCUCAUACAUGGUGAGUAGAUGGCAUUGUCACCCCAUGUCCCAGGUGAGAAAACUGAGGGUGAGAAAUACCAGAGACUUGGCCACCAGAAUGAAUCCCCAGAAUAAAGGAAUGGAAAUUCAAGGGCAAAGAUGAAGAAUUAGGACAGAGGUUGGAGAACCUUUCUGUUAAAGCCUGCAGGUGGGCCCUCGAAUUCCAGGAUGCCCUUCCCAGGGCAGUACCACAGAACAGCAAGGAGUCAGAAGGCCCAGGGGCAAAGAGCCAGCUUCCCUCAGGCUGCCUCUGCUGAAGUUCCUGGGCAAGUUACAUGGGGUACUUUGCCUCAGUUUCCUUGGAAACUUGUGUGAAGCAUGAAUUACACGCUGCCCACAGAGCACGCUCUACACACUGCCUGACACACUGCACUCAAUAGACAAGCAGCCCUUGCCGUCAUCACCAGCAGCAUCACUGUCCCCUCCACCACCAGCGGCACCAGCCUCCCAAACGCUACCUGUGCAAUCACCAGGGAGCAAGACGCACUGGCAGCGGGUUCAAGACCAGCCUGGGCACUCCAGCACCCGUGACUGGAGGACUCCUUAUAGUGAUGAUGAAAUGAACUCAUCAGCCAUGAUGUCUGCGUGUGCUGGGCACUGAGCUAACAUUCAAAGGAAAGUGACGUCUUUGUCAUUGCCCCAGCCAAGGGCAAACAGGUACCAGCAGCCAUAAUUGACAGUUUUGCGCCUUAUGCUCACGCCUUCUGCUUUACUGUGGAGUCUACUGGGCUCACUAGCUGGAAGCAUGGGUGUCCCAUUGUCUCUGGCCCAUGUGUCACCCAGAGAGUACCGCUAAUGAGACCAGUAGGAGUAGUGGCAGUUACAACGUCAGCAGUGACAGCAGCAGUCAUAACUUACAAGGGCUCAGUGGGUGCCAAGAGUGUGCUGGCCACAUGAACACCUUACCUUGCUCACUCACCAGGCCGACCCGAGAGGGAGACAUUAUUUAUCCUUUUUCGGGGGGCAAGGGGUGAUGGGGAAACCGAUGUUCAGAGAGUUUAAGUAUUUUGCCUUAUGGGACGCACAUAGAAGGACCUGUCGUAGUCUUUUUGGGCUGCUAUAACACGAUGCCAUCAACUGUAGCUUAUACACAGCAGAAUUUCAUUUCUCACACUCUGGAGGCUGGGAAGCCCAGGGUCAAGGCUGAAGCAGAUGCAGGGUCUGGUGCGGCCCUGCUUCCCUAUAGAUGCUAUAAUGAUCUGGAUCUGGAAUGAUCCCCAAAGGUUAAGUCCCAAAGGCUUGGCACCAGUCCUUGAUGCUAUUGGGAGAUGGUGCAAUCUUCAGAAGGCGGGGCUUAGUGGAAGAAGUGAGGUCACUGGGGCUGUGACCUUGAAGGGAAUAUUGGCCCCUCCUCUCUCUCUCCUUGCUUUCCAGCACCCUCAGGUAAACAGACCUCUUCCACCAUGUGCUCCCACCAUGAGGUACGACCAUGGAUGGAAACCUCUGAAAUAAACUUUUAGUCUCUUUAAGUUGAUUUUCUCAGGCAUUUUGUCACAGUGACAAAAUCUGACUGACAUUGACUUUCAUUUCAUCAUCUUGAUGUGUCCUCAUUAGCUAGAGAUGGGGUAAAAUCGUUCUCUGGGCCUCUUUGAUAGAGGCACUAAGUCCAUUUUGAGGUCUCCGUCCUUAGGAUCUAAUCAAUUCUCUAAAGGGUCCACCUCUUAUUGAAUGUGUUUUGGGAGAAAACACAAACAUCCAGGCCUCAGCAGGAGUUGAAUCCAGACCUUUGUAACCAAAAGCCCAUGUCAUCAAUCAGUUUGCAUAGGGCAGGAGUCCUUCUGAGCCCUACCUGCCCAGCGCCCUCUGCCGUGUCAGUAAUCGGCCAUUGCUUUGACCUGGUUCUUCUUAGGAACUCUUCUAGGCUAUGACUACCCCACUGAGGGGAUGAACCGCGUUUGUAACAUUUCAGAAUGAAAUCAUCAGUCAUUUCCUUAAUGGCUGAAGAGUCUGACAAAAUUUUUUUUCCUGUGUGCUAUGUGAUCACACUGCAUAAUAUUUAAACAAUAAAGGUUACCUCUCAUGUACUAUUGCUGUGUUUUAUGCUAAUAACCAGAAUCAUUUAAUCAUUAUGAGCUAAUGAGCUGCAAAAUUUCAUUUUAAAAAUGAAGUCGUAUCAGGGCCUCUGGAAGGCAAAAUUGGAUAAAAAAUGAGGAAGGCCGAUGUUCAAUUUGUAUUCGUGAAUGGAGAGCGGCUGCAGAGCCCGCGUGGAAGCAUUUGAGUUGAGCAGUAGGAGGAAUCGUGCCCUGAACUAGAAGCAGGAAGGAAAUUCUUCACCUUACAAGGCUUAGGGGCAUCCGCCUGGCACCAAGGGAAUAGAGAUUCCUGUUCUGGCACCCAGUUCCCCACAGAGGCUCAGAUGCAUGACUUUCCUGCUGUCUGCAAGCCCUCCAGGCAUCUAGCUUAGGAGACUGCUACACCUUGGCAUCCCAGGGGAGCAGAGACCUGUGGGCCUCACAGCUUCCUGCCGUGACCCUGGUGAAUGAUCUGGCCUUCCCGGCUUCCCCUUCCCUGAACCCCUCCUUAAAGGCAGGUACUAAGCCAUGCUCAGCCAGCCCACACUGUUCUGGAGAAGACUCAUCUUAGAUUUUUACUGGGGAGAUGAACCUGGAGGCCUGUGAGUCACCCAGGCCAAAAGCCAGCCUCCUCCUUCCUUGCUAACUGAACUCGGAUUCAGUUUGGGUGGCAAAGCUCCUGAAGCUGAAUCACAGUCAGUCUAUGCUAAUCAGAUUAAUGUGCAUGAAUGGCCUUAGCAUUCACCACCACUUACCUAUGCCCUCUGCUGUGUGAACUUGCAGCGUCACAGUGGAGGCUGGAAAAUAAUUCCUUACCCCUAAAUCUGACCCUAUGAUUCGCUUUAGUCUACAGGAAGCAGCACUGGUACCCCGUGGCUCACACUGGUUCACAAGAGCCACCUAUUAAAUCCUCAGGGACUUCACAAGCCAGUUGAAGUCAUGAUUCCAAGUUAGAUUGUGUUGGUCCCAAAAUUCAUGUAGAAAGGGGCUCAGAAUAUCCAAAAUAACCUUGAAAAUGAAGAAGUCAGAUGACUCACACAUCGCAAUUUCAAAACUUACUACAAAGUGAUAGGUCUUUGGGAGGAGAGACUUGUGACAUGCAGCAAGUAUGUGACAAGGGUCCAAUAUCCCAACCAAUACACAACUUAUUACUCAAGCACAAAUGAUGAGCAGCCUAACUAAAAAAGUGGGCAGAGAGAUUUCUACAAAGGAAAUCCUCAAAUAACCAGUAAGCACACAAAAGGGUGUGUUUGUGAGGGAAACACGAAUCACAGUCACGAGGUACCACUUCACUCUUACCAGGACGGCUGUGAUUUCAAAAUCAAAACAAAUGGAAAUUGCAAGUGAUGGCAAGGAGGUGGGGAGACAGGACCCCGCACUGCUAGCAGGAAGGCAGCAUGGUGGUGCCACUGGAGGGAACCAUUGCUAGCUCCUUUGAAAGUUAAAUGCUUAGCUGUCAUGUGACCCAGUAGGUUCAUGCCUAAGUACAGAUCCAAGAAAACAGGUGUCUACAACAAAACACAUGAACCACCGUAGGUAGCAGCAAGAUUCCGAAGACCUGAAAAGUAGAAACAACACAAUGUCUAUCAGCUGGCAGCUGGAGAAACAGAACACAGUGUUUGCAUAUGAUGGAGUAUUAAACACUUGUGAAAAGGGGUGAAGCUUGGCACGUUCUAGAACACAGACGGGCCUUGGAACCUUUUGUGGAGGGAAGAGGCGGGGCACAGAGGUCCCAUCCUGUGCAGUUCCACUUACGUGGACCUUUCAGAUGAGGCAAACUCACAGAGUAGAGAUUCUCAGGGGCGGUGUAGACAAUGGGACAUGACUGCUCAGUGGACACAAGGUUCCUUUUGGGGGAAAUGAAAAUUCUCUGG